ACAUCCUUUAUUUAAGCGGGGCUGCCUAAGGCGAAGCUGAUUAAACAACCUCUCCACUGCUACACUUUCUUCCCUGGGGCUUUGUGCUACCUCGGGCUUUCUUCUUACCUCUCCUGUGAUCUUUUGCCUUCUGUUCUCGCUCUUCCUUCCAUUCCCCCUCUGCACUCUGUUUCCAUGCGACCUGUCUAUUCUUCCACUUUUAACUAUAGCAGACUUGAGGGUAUGUCUUUAAACACACACACACACACACACACACACACACACACACACACACACUGAACACACUACCUUUCUCCAAUUCACUUCUACCUCUCCCUCAGCUCAGCUCCUCCUUUCUCUUUCGAGGCCAGUUGCCACCAUGACAAACUACAUUCUCUCCCAGCAUUGUCUUUGCCUGAGGCCCUUUUGUAUUUCAUUUCCCUAAAUCUCAGGCCUAAGGUGCUCCUAUGAUUCCUUCUCUUGAGGUCUUAUUUCCCUUCCUUUUCGGAAUUCACACCUCCUCUCUGUUCUCAGCAAAAACAAUGUCUUAAUUCUGAACACAUCUUGCUAUUUAAUGGAAAGCUUGACGUUGUAUGUAGUCUCGGAAGACAGAAACUAAGACUGUCACAUUUGAGGCACCCUUGAUGGCUCAUCUAGCUACACAGCACACCAGAAACACCUUCCGUAUCGCAGGCAUUCAGUAAAUAUCAGGGUGGCAGAGACAGAGUUAAGAACAUGGUCCCAGGAGUCAAGCAAGGCUAGGGUUCAAAUUGUGUCUCAUCUCUGAUCAUCGCUGGGACUUUGGGAAAGUGACUAAUCUCUCUGCGUCUCACCUCCUCUUCUGUAAAAGGGUGUCUCACUGAAUCUGCAGCUAGGCUGGUGGUCAGAAAGCUCCUGUGACCCUCCAGUCCUCACCUACCUACAUCUCACAGCAGAGAUAAAGGACAGGACGGCACCCAGACUUUUCUUAUGUAUACAAUGGGAUGUGAACUUGCCGUCUCAUAUUUACAUAGACAGCAGUGAGUGGACAAAGGGGACUGUCUUGGAACAGCAUCCACACUGUCUAGGCAGCACACGGAAUGCUCAGUGAGAUACUUCACCUUGGGGCCAAUACUGAUGACAAACCUCUGGACAACUUCUAGACAAAGUAAAUCUACCUGUUGCCAUGGAUGCCUCAGUCCUUCCUGAAAACUACGGGUUGUCAACAGUUGCUGGGGAGUGGAGGUAUUGUCCCUGGGGUAUAGUCACUGGUAAGUUGCCCAUGUUCCAUUAAUCACCAUCAUUGUCACUGAGAAGUUGCCUGUGUUCCAUUAAUCAUCGUCAUUGUCAUGUUCAUGCAAACAAC